rnacentral:rRNA from 1 species
AACGAACGCUGGCGGCAUGCCUAACACAUGCAAGUCGAACGAGACCUUCGGGUCUAGUGGCGCACGGGUGCGUACCGCGUGGGAACCUGCCCUUAGGUUCGGAAUAACUCCCCGAAAGGGGUGCUAAUACCGGAUAAUGUCUUCGGACCAAAGAUUUAUCGCCUUUGGAUGGGCCCGCGUUGGAUUAGCUAGUUGGUAGGGUAAAAGCCUACCAAGGCGACGAUCCAUAGCUGGUCUGAGAGGAUGAUCAGCCACACUGGGACUGAGACACGGCCCAGACUCCUACGGGAGGCAGCAGUGGGGAAUAUUGGGCAAUGGGCGAAAGCCUGAUCCAGCCAUGCCGCGUGAAUGAUGAAGGCCUUAGGGUUGUAAAGCUCUUUUACCCGGGAUGAUAAUGACAGUACCGGGAGAAUAAGCUCCGGCUAACUCCGUG